UGCAUCGAUGGAUCCAUGAGAGCAAGCACCCGAUAGAGUGGUUGUGUCAAUGCCGAGCAUGUACCUACAGUGGGACCGUGAUCCUGAUCCUGCAUUUUACGCAUGCUCUCCAUCUGCGAUUGUCUCCGCCGCUAGGUUCCUCUCGUCAUGGUGAAGCGUUCGCGAUGCGAUGUUGUGGAGUAUGGGAAGUAAAACCUUAGUUAUUAGGGUUUCGGGUGAGUACAUGACUUUGGACUCAACGAUGCCGUGGAAUUGGUGAAAGCGGGGGGGGGGAGGGGGGGGGGGUUGUGGAGUUUGUCGUGUGGAGGAAGAGCGGGGCAGUGGAGGAGCUGCGCGGAGGCGGUGGGAGAGGCACGGCAUCGCAAUUGAGCGUUUCGGGUUUCGGAGGCGGAGGAAGCGCAAAAACCCGAGAGGGAUGGAUGUGGAUCCUCGCCUUUUUGAAAAUGUGAAGGUGAGCGACAGCGAGGUGCGCAAGAUUGUGUUGUCGUAUCUCGUUCACAAUUGCUUCAAAGAGACAGCUGAAUCGUUCAUUGCCUGCUCUGGCAUGAAGCGCACGGCCGACUGCUCUGUUGAUAUCGACAAGAGAAAACCAAUUUACAACCAUGUACUGGAAGGGAAUGCUCUGAAGGCCAUCGAGCUUACAAACGAGCUUGCUGUGGAUCUUCUAACUUCCAAUCCGGAUGUACAUUUUGAUCUUCUGAUACUCCACUUUAUCGAGCUAGUUCGAGCUAAGGAUUGUGCGAGUGCAUUGGAGUUUGCUCAGAAAGAGCUGCGACCUUUUGGGAAACUACUAGAGCGAUGCCUAGAUAAGCUCCAGGAUUGUAUGGCGUUGCUAGCAUAUGAUGAUCCCGAAACUUCUCCCAUGUUUCAUUAUCUGUCUUUGGAAUAUCGCCAUAGCGUGGCAGAUGCGCUGAAUUCUGCCGUUUUAGCGCAUGCCAAUUUACCAAGCUAUACAUCAAUGGAGAGAUUGCUGCAACACACAACAGUUGUAAGGCAGCGGCUUAAUCAAGAACUUGGCAAGGAUGGACCUCCAACCUUCACACUUAAAGCGUUCUUGAAAAGCUAGAUAACGUUUCCGACGUGUUGAAGCUUGUUAGAUUCAAGCCAGUGAUCAUGAAGUGUAAAUCUAUGUAAAGAUCCAUGUAUACACAUUAGGAGCAUGAAUCUGCUUGAGGACCAACCCUAAAAAUUGCUCAAUCAUCGUCUCAAAAGUGGGGAGAGUAGUCUACCUGCACUUGUUUAGAUGGGUUUGGUCUUUCACGUUUUACUUAAUUCUAUUUACUUGUAUAUGCACACGGAUAUCAUAAAUAAUAUUCCGUACUAUUUUGCUACA